AGGGGUUAAGGUUAGUUGGUGAGCCAAAGAGAAAACCAACGGUGUUAGGUUGUGGUUGGUGAGCCUUUGGGAAAACCAACUGGGUUGAUUGUGAACCCGGAAAACAAUCGUUGUAAGGUUGUGGUUGGUGAGCCUGUGGAAACCAACUGGGUUUGAUUGUGAACCCGGAAAAACAAUCGGUUGGUUCUAGUCGGUGAGCCUGUGAAAACCGACCGAGUUCGUUGUUAUCUCGCAAAACAACAAGUUGGGUUGUGAGCUUGUAAAACAACCGGCUGUAAUCUGUAGGAUUAUAGUGAAAUUUCCAAGAGGUCUUGGAGAGUGGAUGUAGGUGCUGGGGUGCACCGAACCACUAUAUGUUUGUUGUGUUUGUAAUGAUUCUUGUCAUUGUCUAACUUACUCACUUACUUACUUAGAUAAAUUGCUUGCUUAACUUUUAUCCGCGCAUCCUUUAGUUGCAAGCAUAUUCAAUCUAGUCACAUUCUAUACAUCAAACUGUUGCUAAGUUUAAAUUUCACUGUGCAUCUAUAUAACUUAGCAUAAUUAAUUGAAAAGUUUUAGAAGUAGUCUNNNNNNNNNNNNNGACCCAAUUUACCCCCCCUCUUGGGUUGUAUCUACUGGGCAACAA
rnacentral:lncRNA from 1 species